GUUAAAGUCGCCCAGAACUGUGAGAGGUGAGCCGUCCUCAGGAAAGGAGCUUAUCAAGGCAUCAAGCUCAUUGAUGAACUCUCCGAGGGAACCUGGAGGGCGAUAAAUGAUAAGGAUGUUAAGCUUGAAAGGGCUGGUAAUUGUGACAGCAUGGAAUUCAAAGGAGGCGAUAGACAGAUGGGUAAGGGGAGAAAGAGAGAAUGACCACUUGGGAGAGAUGAGGAUCCCGGUGCCACCACCCCGCUGACCAGAAGCUCUCGGGGUGUGCGAGAACACGUGGGCGGACGAAGAGAGAGCAGUAGGAGUAGCAGUGUUAUCUGUGGUGAUCCAUGUUUCCGUCAGUGCCAAGAAGUCGAGGGACUGGAGGGAGGCAUAGGCUGAGAUGAACUCUGCCUUGUUGGCCGCAGAUCGGCAGUUCCAGAGGCUACCGGAGACCUGGAACUCCACGUGGGUCGUGCGCGCUGGGACCACCAGAUUAGGGUGGCCGCGGCCACGCGGUGUGGAGCGUUUGUAUGGUCUGUGCAGAGAGGAGAGAACAGGGAUAGACAGACACAUAGUUGACAGGCUACAGAAGAGGCUACGCUAAUGCAAAGGAGAUUGGAAUGACAAGUGGACUACACGUCUCGAAUGUUCAGACUCAGACUUUGACUCAACGGGAGGUUUGCUGGGGGCCACCAUAGGGAGAGUGAAGCAGCUUUCCAGGGGAAGCCAGACCAAGCUCCUGUGCUACAUGCUGUUCCUCUGCAUCUUGGUCUUCAACAUCCUUUAAUGGUUUAGCAAACUGAGGUGAUGUGUUACAGGAGGACCCGGCUUUUCCCUCCCUGCCUCGUGUUUCCUUUCCCAGUCUGUGCCAUGCGUGCCCCUCUGCAUCAGAAGACCAGGAUGAUGACAAUGAGACUGUAAGAAUGUGCUUAAUGUUUGAGAAGACUCCCCCCAAAUCAUCAAUGACAAUGUGCAAUAGGGAAUAAUAAAAAAUGUCUGUUAAUUUUAGACAACCCUGAUGGAAUGAGUAGACACUGCCAUACGUUUGUAAUGUAACACUUUCAUACAGAGUCCCUUAACGAUGAUGCAUCAACAAAUCUGGCAAGGCUAAGCAGUAACGUGUUACACAGGCAGCCCAAUUCUGAUAUUUUUCCCCCCAAUCACAUUUUUCAGAGCUGAUUAGUGAAAACAGAUUGGAAUUGGGUUCGCUGUCAGAGGUUGCUUGAUCCAAUGUGAGACUGAUUUAACAUUUGAUCAAUAUGAUCAAUAUCAAUAUUCCAACCUUGAAUAUGUGGACAUCUAUAAGUACCUAGGUGUCUGGCUAGACUGUAAACUCUCCUUCCAGACUCAUAUCAAACAUCUCCAAUCGAAAAUCAAAUCAAGAGUCGGCUUUCUAUUCCGCAACUGAUAGAGGAAAAUAUAGUUUAGAUAAUCAAUUAUGUAUACAUUAAUGAUUAGAACCCUUCUAUGCUAAUACUUAUGUUAUGAUUUGAAAAGUAUGGGUUCUUAAUUGUACUGUUACUGAAAAUGUAAGCAGAAAUGAAUUGUGUCUGUGUCUCCUGGGAAAGUUUUUCAAAUAGAUAAGAAUGUUUUGGUUGGAUUCCAUUAGGGGAGAGAAAUAUAUCCUUUAGACAGGUUGGAAUGUAGAUUUAUGAGGGGAGUGAAACUAUCUCCAGGACCGAAUACUACGCCAUUGUAAGGCUGGGAGAGGGGGUGUAACUGAUGACGUCAUUUUAUGUCUUCUUUAGAUUUAAAAUGUAAUGUUCUUUGUAUUUUGGGUCAGUACUCAUCAAUAAUAAAUGCUGAACUUGUUUUUAAGACUGGUCUCGUGCUAAUUCAUGCAAAUGAUAAACUUACAACUUAUCAUGAAUUAGAAAUGAGUGUGAAUUUAAUUGAUUUUGGCAAUUAAACAUAAAGGAAUUUAGAAUUCCUCUAUCAAUUUGGUCCUUCGAGCCGGAUCUAAACAUCUCUCUCUGUGCCUGGAGGUAGUAAGCUGGAAAAUCGUGCACGGACGAGUUUGACUCGUUUUACUAAAGACCUGACCUCUGAAUUGAGGUUAAAACUUAAACAGGCCUGCGUAUUACCACAGAGGACAGAGAGAGUGACUAGAUACAACGAACAUUGCUUUCCCAGUCGGCGAUAAGGUCAGUAUUUUUUAUUCUUGAUUAAGGGGGAAUGAUUUAAAUUAUCAUAGGGUGGAUUUAAGUUGUUCUCAGUUUAAAAGUCAACUCUACAAAUAGGCUAUGCUUGGAGCGACAUUGUAGUUCAAAGUCCUAUAGGGAACAGCGAUUUACUGUAUAUUCCUACAGUGAUCACUGUAUACGGGUGACAACCAGUGUCAGGUCGAGCGAUGAAUGGACGGGGGGUCUUUCCCGGUUUUUAGUAGUCGGUGUUCUUGAUAGUGAAAAGUGAUUGUGUGGUUGAGGUUCCGUGGGAAGAAACGGAACAGGUGAUUUUAUGCCAUCAGCUUUCAAGAAUAGACACUGCAGGAUUGGUUUUGGGACUGGCCUCGGUCCAUUUGUUUUCGGUCAACUUUACAAGUAGGCUAUGUUUGGAGCGACAUAGUUUAAGUUAAAAGUCCUAUAGGAACAAGGAUUACUGUAUACGGGUGAGUUAAAUGUCAGAUUGAACAAUGUAUCCAGCGGAGAGACGGAACAAGUGACCCCAUAGAUAUAUAGAUCUUGGUAAUAGACACUGCAGGUUGGUGGUCCUUAUUUAGAUUAUGGGGAACAAUUGAGUUGCUUUUCCGUUGGUCAUUUUCAAUCAACUCUACAGAUUAAGCUAUAUUUGGGGCGAUAUUUUAAGUUCAAAGUCCUAUAGGAACAGUAAUCGCUGUAUACGGGUGAAAACUAGUAUCAGAUUGAACGACGAGUGGACAGAGACUCUUGAGACUCGGUCUAUUUGUCUUCGGUCAACCCUACAAGUAGGCUGAUUUGGGGCGACAAUCUUAGCAAAAGUCCUAAAGGAACAGUAAUGUAUUGUAUACGGGUGAAACUUAAUGUCAGACUUUAGUAGAUGGGGAUCCCAAUAAAAGAGAUAUUAACCAUAAGGUGUUAAAUAUUGGAAUUACUAGGCGUAAGUAAAUAAGGAUUCCAAUAAAGAGAAAUUAACAUAAAGGGCUGAAGAUUGGAAUUAUUAGGAGGGCAUGAAUUUAUUAUAAUGGGUAGUAACCCUUCUAAACUGCUUUCUGAAGAGACGGAAGAUUACCGUUAUAUGAAACAAAAAGAUAGAAGGAAUGUAGAUUUCUGUCCUAAGUGGGAAAAAAGGAAUGGUUUUGACGGACGCCUAGAGGUCGAAAAGUUAGAAUCCCUUCUAAAACAGAUACGAAGGGAGCGAGAUGAAUGAGAAUCCUAAACUGAGAGAAAACGUUGGGCGUUCAAAUUUGGGCUAUUUUCUGUUGUCUAGAUGUCGGAGUAACAAAUACAAUUAACUGUGAAAAUGGAUAUAUUUGCGGAGAGUCUCAGUUAAACUCCAUUGUGCUGGUAGGGGAGUGGUGAGCGCGGCAGUCUCACCAACGGUAAUCCACGGUUCGGUUCCCGUUUAACUAAAAUUGAUUUUAGAUCGUAAUUUACCUAUUUGCAUGUUUUGCCUGAAAAAUACGGUCGCCAGUGUUUGCAAAAGAUAUAACUGAACGGAUAUUAUGUGUUCUAGAUAGAAUUGACAAAAGAAGUCAUUAAAAAUAAUGGCGAGACAAUUUCUAUGUAAAACGCCAUUUCGCCCAAAAUGAUCUGGUGGAAUAAUGUAUUGAGAUGGGAGUCGUAAUUAAAUAGAUGUAACAUAGAAGAGAGAGAGUUGCCUGGAGUUGAAUGGAGGGGAUAACGGGGAGAUACGAUGCAGUUCCAGCCUGCCUGGACGUUACGGCUAAUUAUGAAUCAAUUGUCAUGAGAAGUUUAACACAAAAACAUGGUACGUUUAACGUUAGGGUAUAGUAAAUUGAGAAGUUCGGUUGGGUUUACUCUGAUGAUUAGAAUUUAAAACUGAACUCAAUCUGAAUAGGGAAUAUAUAUUUUACAAAGGCGGGCAGAUUUGUGUCUAUAGCCAAGCAACGGAAUUGCUAGACACUCAAUGGGGCUAUAUAGUGCAACGCUUUGGACUAUAAAUUAGGUAAGAAUAGUUUAAUCGUAAGAAGUUGUGAUUGUUUUUCUGAUUAUUGAUUUUUGGUUAAGGUAACACCAGUGAAUUUGAACAAAAAGUAACGUAUUCUAAAAAUGAUCUGAUUUCCGUUCCCGUUGUGGGGAACAAAUGAAAAGUCUUAUCUUAAAGGGACAGUGCACGGUAAUCACAGUGGUUUGAGUGUAUGACAGUGGGAAAAAAUAUUGUGGGACGACAAUUUGAAGAUAGAAAAAAUAAGUUACAUGAUACAUCAAGAGAUUUAAAACAAACGAUGUGAAGGGAUUAUCAGAAUUAUUGGGUGUCGUUGUAGUAGUAAAAGUUUGGGUUAAGGGGAUUUCCCUGUUCCCAGUGACAAGGUAUUUUAAAGGUGUACACUCACAUAGGGGGUGGUAAAUUAUAAUUCAGGAUUUGAACAGAUGUGAUAAAUUAGGUUUGGUUAAUCGAACAAUAAUUAUUUACAAUUCAUUUAAAGUCGCUACGAAUGGGGCUGAGGUUGAGCGCUUGAUGAUGACGUCACUAGCGAGGCACUUUUGUCGUCAGGGACUGGGGAUAACGGAGCAAAUUAUAUGUCUGUUAGUGUGUGUAUUGAUGUUUCGAGUAACUUUUCAGAAGUUGAUAUAAAUUACAAAAUACAUUUUUAACAGUAAUUUGAGAGUUGCCAGGAUAGUCGGGAAAGAUGCUAAAAACGAUCAGCUGAUACCUAGGAAGGCAUCAAGGUUUGUGGCGUUGGUUUGGGUUGAACCAUUUUAGUGAGGGAGAGACUGGAUGUAUGAUUCGUAAAACAUCGUGGUAAUGGAUUCCAUGGUUGGGAUUCCAGGGUUGAUUGUGUACGUAACACCAGUGAAUUUGAGCACUGUUUCCAUUGUGUGGAACCAUGUUGGGGUAUUUAAAGUUUGAAAAGCAACCUCUAUAGUAAAACAUAAUUACAUAUGUUUCGGGAAACUAGCUAGGUUGAAUUUGGUUAUUUGAGCUUUUCCCCUGAUACAUAAACAUCUGUAACAGGGGCAAGUUGUUUUUCUUGAAGAACACGCAGAUGGUGUUUUGUUUUAUUGAGAUUUAAACGUGAGUUUCUGAGUAAUUUUGUCAUCUGAAGCAUUAUAGUGAGUUUUUGUAUAGUUUGGUUUUUGCUGAUAAAAGUGGUUUGUUUAUUGGUUACUGAUGGUUGGUUAUUCUAGGAGUUGAUUUAACUUAAUUAAGCAUUUGUUCUGGUGUGUUUAAGUAGUAUUCUUCAUACCGGGACGGAUGGAAUUUAUCUAAAGGAUGUGAGUUGAAGGAACCAAGUGAAAACGCAUUUACAUUUUUAGUAAAUAUCUGGUAUUAGGAUUUCUUACACUGAGAAAUGUACGACAUUUGCGGCAGAGGGGAAAAAGUAAUACAAUAAUGUUAUCGGGUUAAUUGUAUCUAAGGGUAGCAUGUUCAUUUAAGUAAACAUAAUACAUUGACGUUGUUUAAAACUUAUGAUUAAUGAUUUUAGUUAAAGGGGAAUCAUCAUUAGGUUUAGUUUAUAGUUCACUUUUGAGUUUCUGAAUCGGAAUUAGCAUAGUGAAUGCUAGUUAGGAGUGUUGUGUUUUUCUGGGAAAAUUGAUGUUUAAAGUGUCUCAAUUUUAGAUGUUUCCUGGGAUUAUAAUCUGGGGGAGAAUGAGGCCAUAAACGACCAAAUUAAAACAGGACUGCAAGUAUAUACACAGAAAACAUUGUUAGGGCAAUUUUUUUUAGUGCAAAGGUAUUUUAAAGAGGCACGCUCACAUAUGGAACCUUAUGAGAUGUUUUUUUUAUGGGUUUGAAUCAUACAAGUGACUUUCUAUUGUAAGGAUAAAGGGAUCUUUAUGUCUAAUAUGGUAUGACCUUUUGACCUUAUCAUGACUGGCUUCUGGGGUCUGAUCAGCCCCAGGGGAGAGUCAUUUGUAUAAUGAAUGGAGUCAUAUUGAGUUACUAGUGUUAAGGUAAAUUCAUUAGAAAUGAAGCAGUUUUGGUUGAGGGUUUAGAAUUACUGUUUGAACCGCAAAUGAGAAAGUGGUUCAGGAUUCUGUCUUAUAACAUUAGCUGUGAGGUUUUUUUGAAUGGGCUAUUAGGAAGUCUGUAUUGUAACAGAGAGAAAGUCAUGUUCAUCAUUGAGAAUAAAUAGGGGAAGAUAACAUAUUUUGAGCCAACAGGGCAGGGAAGAAAUUGAGGUAUUUUUGUUUGAUUUUAACACCCGUGUACAGGAGUGUCAAAAGAUGGGGGACAUUACCUGUGUAAUGGGGGAGGGUGUCCGUAUGGGGAUUACAUGAUAACCAACUUGGGACAGUUCUGGGAUAGAAGAAGAGGAUAUCCUUAUGGCAUAGGGAAUCCCACAAAGGUGGAUAGGUUUUCCAUGAUAUGGGGGAAACCUGGGAGUACUGUUGAACUUUGUAAAGGUGAUGAAAUCCUACUAACCAUCAAAACUAUUAAGCUCUCUGAUGCAGGCACUUACAUCCCCGGACUACAAAGGACCGGGACAGACACGGUGGGUGUGUUUUCUAUUAAGGUACUGCCAAAACCAGGGGUCUCACACGAAGCAGGGCCUACACACUCCUCUACCAGAUGGUAGUAUAUCUAAGGGCCUUAAAUGGGCUUGAUGCACUAUCUGCUGAGAUGAGGACCAUGGCGGGGGUAGAGGAGUCUGACUGUCCACCCUGGUUGGGAGACUGGUUUGAUAAGUAUACUGGUAUGGUGGUUACUGGAUUUCUGACCCUAAUUCUGUAUUAUUUGUUAUUGAUGUCAUGUGCUGCUUGCAUCAUACCAUGUUAUUAGAAGUCUGUUACAGAUGUGUUGAAGGCUUCAGGCAUGAUGCCUUUGCUUGAUGCUCCAGUUGGAGAGGCUGAGGUGAAGCAUGCCUUGAGGGAAGGAUAAGACUGACUGAGGAUGACCCAUGUAUGUUUGUUCUCCCUGUCGUGAAGGGUGGCAUGGUGCCCACCUGGUGCUGGAUAAGAAUAGCUGAGAGGACCAGAUGGGUUAUAAGAAUGCUUUGUUCUGCUUUACUCUGUUUUACAGGACCAAAGUUUUAUUCCACACUUUGCAACACAUUAAAUCCAUGUUAUUGUCAGAUAGAAUACUGAGGGUCCCCAAGGAGAGGGCUUGUUAGUGUAGGAAGGAUUUUUAAUAUGGUUAGCAUUUAUUAGAUUAUAAGUUUUUAAAUAGUAUUAUAUAUAACAGGAAUAUAGGACAUCUAUGAGGAGUUAGGAUUAUUGUUAGGAUUAAGGAAUUUGGAGAAAAGCAGCUCAUAGACAUGUUUUUUUUUUCUCUAAAAGAGGGUCCAUGGGUUUGGAUGGAGCCAAACAGUGAGACAUGAGUAACAUCGGUAAAUAGCCAACCCAUCUUUACCUACCUCAUCCCCAUACUGUUUUUAUUUAUUUACUUUUCUGCUCUUUUGCACACCGAUAUCUCUACCUGUACAUGACCAUCUGAUCAUUUAUCAUUCCAGUGUUAAUCUGCAAAAUUGUAAUUAUUCGCCUACCUCCUCAUGCCUUUUGCACACAAUGUAUAUAGACUCCCCUUUUUUUCUUCCUACUGUGUUAUUGACUUGUUAAUUGUUUACUCCAUGUGUAACUCUGUGUUGUCUGUUCACACUGCUAUGCUUUAUCUUGGCCAGGUCGCAGUUGCAAAUGAGAACUUGUUCUCAACUAGCCUACCUGGUUAAAUAACUUUGAAAUAAAAAAUAAAUAAAAAAAUAGUGUCCAACAAUUGAGUUCCACUAUAAACAAACAUCUUGUUUUUGUUUUGAGGAAUAAAUUAGGGUGUGCGCUCACUUCAAACAUUUCCUGUCCCAUCUACAGAGACUGUUCAUCUCCACUGCACACUGUUCUCCCGUUAACUCUUGUAAAAUGUUUUAUAUGUAAAUAAACAUGGAUGUUUUGGAUUUGA